AGAGUUUGAUCAUGGCUCAGAACGACCGCUGGCGGCGUGGAUAAGACAUGCAAGUCGAACGAGAUUUUUCCCUGUAGCAAUACAGGGAAAAGUCUAGUGGCGAACGGGUGCGUAACACGUGGGCAAUCUGCCUUAAAGUGGGGGAUAGCUCGGCGAAAGCCGAAUUAAUACCGCAUGUGAUCAGGGGAGACAUCUUCCCGAAAUCAAAAGUGGCGCAAGCUACUGCUUUUUGAGGAGCCCGCGGCCUAUCAGCUAGUUGGCGAGGUAACGGCUCACCAAGGCUUUGACGGGUAGCUGGUCUGAGAGGACGACCAGUCACACUGGAACUGAGACACGGUCCAGACACCUACGGGUGGCAGCAGUCGAGAAUUUUUCUCAAUGGGGGAAACCCUGAAGGAGCGACGCCGCGUGGAGGAUGAAGGUCUUCGGGUUGUAAACUCCUGUCAUUUGGGAACAAGUGUCGGUACCUAACUGCUACCGGCUUGAUAGUACCAGAAGAGGAAGGGACGGCUAACUCUGUGCCAGCAGCCGCGGUAAUACAGAGGUCUCAAGCGUUGUUCGGAUUCAUUGGGCGUAAAGGGUGUGUAGGUGGCGCCGUAAGUCGGGUGUGAAAUUUCGGAGCUUAACUCCGAAACUGCAUUCGAUACUGCGGUGCUUGAGGACUGGAGAGGAGACUGGAAUUCAUGGUGUAGCAGUGAAAUGCGUAGAGAUCAUGAGGAAGACCAGUGGCGAAGGCGGGUCUCUGGACAGUUCCUGACACUGAGACACGAAGGCCAGGGGAGCAAACGGGAUUAGAUACCCCCGUAGUCC
rnacentral:rRNA from 1 species